GAGGGUAUAGCUCAAGUGUAGAGCACACGCUUAGCAUGCAUGAGGUCCUGGGUUCAAUCCCCAGUACCUCCU
rnacentral:tRNA from 1 species